rnacentral:rRNA from 1 species
UACGUAGGGUGCGAGCGUUGUCCGGAAUUAUUGGGCGUAAAGAGCUCGUAGGCGGUGUGUCGCGUCGGCCGUGAAAACCUGGCUGACUACUGGUGGCUGCGGUCGAUACGGGCAUCACUGAGUGUCGGCAGGGGAGACUGGAAUUCCUGGUGUAGCGGUGAAAUGCGCAGAUAUCAGGAGGAACACCGGUGGCGAAGGCGGGUCUCUGGGCCGAUACUGACGCUGAGGAGCGAAAGCCAGGGGAGCAAACGGG